rnacentral:lncRNA from 1 species
CUUGGAACAGGGCCGGUGGCAAUAUUAAACGCUCAGCGGGAGACAGGGAAAGCCAAGCUGGGGUGCUGAAAACCACACUCACUCUGGCUAAGGUUGAAGCAGGGGCCUGGGAAUCAGAAAAGAUGUGGAAGGAAGCUGAGAACUCAUCUGGAUCAAUUCAAGUGGAGUGAAGUGAUUUCUCCUAAAAUCACCCAAAAGUAGCAGAACCAGGUACAAAGCUUAAGACUCUAUGUUCCACGAAACGCCAUGUUCUGACUUCAUGGAAUCCAUUUAUUUGUUGACUGAAUUGCUGAAUAAAUAUUUUUAAGUACUACUGUGUGCCAAGGUUUCUGCUGGGGUCUGGAGAUAAACCUGUGAAAGAGAAACAGUUCUUCCAGCCAAAAAGUAAAG